GGGGAAUAUUGGACAAUGGGGGCAACCCUGAUCCAGCCAUGCCGCGUGUGUGAAGAAGGCCUUAGGGUUGUAAAGCACUUUCAGUGGGGAGAAAGGUGAUUCACCUAAUACGUGAGUCAAUUGAUGCUACCCACAGAAGAAGCACCGGCUAACUCCGUGCCAGCAGCCGCGGUAAUACGGAGGGUGCAAGCGUUAAUCGGAAUUACUGGGCGUAAAGCGCACGUAGGUGGUUUGUUAAGCCAGCUGUGAAAUCCCCGGGCUCAACCUGGGCACUGCAGUUGGAACUGGCAAGCUAGAGUAGGGUAGAGGGGUGUGGAAUUCCAGGUGUAGCGGUGAAAUGCGUAGAUAUCUGGAGGAACAUCAGUGGCGAAGGCGACACCCUGGACUCAUACUGACACUGAGGUGCGAAAGCGUGGGGAGCAAAC
rnacentral:rRNA from 1 species